rnacentral:rRNA from 1 species
CCUACGGGAGGCAGCAGUGAGGAAUAUUGGUCAAUGGCCGGAAGGCUGAACCAGCCAAGCCGCGUGAAGGACGAAGGUGCCAAGCAUUGUAAACUUCUUUUGUCAAGGGACAAAAUCAGGCUCGAGAGCCUGACCGAGGGUACUUGAAGAAAAAGCAUCGGCUAACUCCGUGCCAGCAGCCGCGGUAAUACGGAGGAUGCGAGCGUUAUCCGGAUUUAGUGGGUUUAAAGGGUGCGUAGGCGGACUGUUAAGUCAGCGGUAAAAGCCCGGGGCUCAACCCCGGCGAGCCGUUGCAACUGGCUGUCUUGAGAUGUCGAGAGGUAUGCGGAAUGCGCAGUGUAGCGGUGAAAUGCUUAGAUAUUGCGCAGAACUCCGAUUGCGAAGGCAGCAUACCGGCGGCGAUCUGACGCUGAGGCACGAAAGCGUGGGUAUCGAACAGGAUUAGAUACCCGAGUAGUC